rnacentral:rRNA from 1 species
UACGUAGGUGGCAAGCGUUGUCCGGAAUUAUUGGGCGUAAAGCGCGCGCAGGCGGUCCUUUAAGUCUGAUGUGAAAGCCCACGGCUCAACCGUGGAGGGUCAUUGGAAACUGGGGGACUUGAGUGCAGAAGAGGAAAGCGGAAUUCCACGUGUAGCGGUGAAAUGCGUAGAGAUGUGGAGGAACACCAGUGGCGAAGGCGGCUUUCUGGGCUGUAACUGACGCUGAGGCGCGAAAGCGUGGGGAGCAAACAGG